rnacentral:lncRNA from 1 species
GCUGCAUGUACGAUAAUCAUAACCUUCUUUCUAACCAAUAAGGAUUGGAUCCUCAAGCUCUUGUCCCGUAUAGGUUGGUAGACCACCUCCCAGAAGAGCAAGUGAAGCCCAUUACUGCCUUGUCUAGAGCCUCACAAAAAAUUUCGAAAUUGUUGCUCCAAAUCUUUAAGACAAGAGCAUGGCACAAUAGUGUUCACCAAGAGGUAGAUCAGAAUGGGACUUAUGAUUAAUCUCACGAGAGUAGUCCUUCCCAUCAUUAAGAGGGCAUUGGCUUGCUGGCCCUCAAGAUGAUCUCAAAUCUGCUGCUCUAUGGGUCGAUAAUAAGCCCUCUGAAAUCUUCAUCCCAUGAUAGGAACCUCCGAUAGGUCAGCAUUCCAGUCUACUCAAAAAUCUCUAAUCUAUCUCGAAUCACCUACUUCAUUUGGACCUUCGUCUUGGGGCUAAAGGUGAUCAUAGGCUUCGCGAAUUCAUGAG